rfam:Microgenomates bacterium GW2011_GWB1_40_9 TT25_C0012, whole genome shotgun sequence.
GGGCUCGUCGUUCAAUGGUAGGAUAUCUCAUUUGCACUGAGAAGGUCCGGGUUCGAUUCCCGGCGAGUCCA